rnacentral:lncRNA from 1 species
UGGACAUGAUAAAACGUGAAAAAUAUCAGGCAUAUUGACUUCCCACAAAUGCCAAAUUUAUAGCAUUUGGAGACAGUGGCCAGGUAAACAAAACCAAAUAACAGAGUUCUACCAGGCUGUAUUCAGGAAAUAACAGAGUUCUACCAGGCUGUAUUUAGGAAAUAACAGAGUUCUACCAGGCUGUAUUCAGGAAAUAACAGAGUUCUACCAGGCUGUAUUCAGGAAAUAACAGAGUUCUACCAGGCUGUAUUAAGGAAAUAACAGAGUUCUACCAGGCUGUAUUCAGGAAAUAACAGAGUUCUACCAGGCUGUAUUCAGGAAAUAACAGAGUUCUACCAGGCUGUAUUAAGGAAAUAACAGAGUUCUACCAGGCUGUAUUAAGGAAAUAACAGAGUUCUACCAGGCUGUAUUCAGGAAAUAACAGAGUUCUACCAGGCUGUAUUCAGGAAAUAACAGAGUUCUACCAGGCUGUAUUCAGGAAAUAACAGAGUUCUACCAGGCUGUAUUCAGGAAAUAACAGGGUUCUACCAGGCUGUAUUAAGGAAAUAACAGAGUUCUACCAGGCUGUAUUAAGGAAAUAAGAGUUCUACCAGGCUGUAUUCAGGAAAUAACAGAGUUCUACCAGGCUGUAUUCAGGAAAUAACAGGGUUCUACCAGGCUGUAUUCAGGAAAUAACAAAGUUCUACCAGGCGGUUGAAAAGCCAAAAGAAGGUCGACACCAGCAAUGCUAUAUUAUAAUUUCAACAAAAUUACAAAAAUAACUUUAGGUCUGCUUCAGUGGCUUUUAUAGGUAGGUAAAGCGUUGUUAAAUAAGGACUGAUGUCAAAUUAUGGUAAUUCUAUUACUUUUAUUUUAUUACUAUUAUAAGCAUUAUUUUAUAGGAGACCAACUAUUGAUUAUUAAUUGACCCCAUGGAUCAUAAAAUGUGUUUUAACCAAUGUAUGUUGCCUAAUAUAGUGUGUUGUCAACAGUUAAAUCAUUUUCACCAAAAUAAUUGUAUUAUUUUUAUGUACCCUACACUUAGUCCACCAUACUUUAAUGAGAUAUCAACCCCUAGUUGAGCACAUUUUUACAAAAUGAUUGCUUUUUAGCUUUUUUUGCAUGUUAACUAUUUAUUUUCCUAUUCCUAUUAUUCAAGAUCUCUACUAACAGAAAGGGUGCAAUACUAAUCCCUUACCAAUGGAAUUCCUGCCUUUUAACCUAUAUCUUUGGUGACUGAUCUUGACAUUUCUUACAUCCCUCUGAGUGGGGAAAAGUUAAAGUGCCACAACACUGAACUGCAGCAACCCAAAAGGAUACAAAUACUGUAAAUUGAUGCAGGAGGACUGAGGGAGCUGAUCAAUGAAGUUCAAGAGAAGAAUGAUUUUGAUCCACUUCUAAAUCCAUUGUCAAAACAAGCUCUACCAACCUAUUAAAUGUAUUCGGGAACAUCUUUCCAUUGUAAAUGAACAAAAAUGGCAUCUUAAGAACUUUUUAAAUGUUUGUAACCAUUAUGAUAACAUUGUGC